UCACAAUUUCAUAUUAUUAUCAAUAAUCAACAAAAAGAAAGAAAUGGUGAUCCAUUGUUCUUACCUUAGCUUCGCGAUUUUGCAAAUAGUUUGCACGUUGAUCGGUUGAUCCUAUGUAGAAUUGGAAUCAGAAACAAAUUUUAUGCAACUCUUGUAUUUUAAGAAGAAGAAGAACAAGGUGGUUGAUGGCUUGAGCUGCAAUUCGCUCGUCGACUUCCCUUAUUUAUUUUGGUAUAGUGUUUUAUACUGUAUUAGCUUAAAGUUUAGGAUGUUUUAAUUUUGUGACUAGUGUAUCGAAAGUAAUAUGAAUAUUAUAUUGCUGAUUUAUGCAUGAAAUUGCUUUUGCUUAUUGUUAUAGUA